AAUCCUACGGGGGGCAGCAGUGAGGAACAUUGGUCAAUGGGCGCAAGCCUGAACCAGCCAAGUCGCGUGAGGGAUGACGGUCCUAUGGAUUGUAAACCUCUUUUGUCGGGGAGCAAGGCCCGCCACGUGUGGCGGGAAGGAGAGUACCCGAAGAAAAAGCAUCGGCUAACUCCGUGCCAACAGCCGCGGUAAUACGGAGGAUGCGAGCGUUAUCCGGAUUUAUUGGGUUUAAAGGGGGCGUAGGCGGAAGGUUAAGUCAGCGGUCAAAUGUCGGUGCUCAACACCGGCCCGCCGGUUAAACUGGG
rnacentral:rRNA from 1 species